rnacentral:rRNA from 1 species
UAGGGAAUAUUGCGCAAUGGGCGAAAGCCUGACGCAGCGACGCCGCGUGAGUGAGGAAGGCCUUCGGGUUGUAAAACUCUUUUCUUCAGGAAGAUAAUGACGGUACUGAAGGAAUAAGCAUCGACUAACUACGUGCCAGCAGUCGCGGUAAUACGUAGGAUGCAAGCGUUAUCCGGAUUUAUUGGGCGUAAAAAGUGUGUAGGUGGUUCUUAAAGUCUGUAGUGAAAUCUCUAGGCUCAACCUAGAAAUUGCUACGGAUACUUAAGUUCUGGAGAGCAGUAGGGGAAAAUGGAAUUCUCGGUGUAGCGGUAAAAUGCGUUGAUAUCGAGAAGAACACCGGAGGCGAAGGCGGUUUUCUAUGCUGCAUCUGACACUGAGACACGAAAGCUAGGGUAGCGAAAG